rnacentral:misc_RNA from 1 species
GAAAUGCGAUAAGUAGUGUGAAUUGCAGAAUUCAGUGAAUCAUCGAAUCUUUGAACGCACAUUGCGCCCUUUGGUAUUCCUUAGGGCAUGCCUGUUCGAGCGUCAUCUAAACCUUCAAGCCCUGCUUGGUGUUGGGUGCCUAUCCCGCCUCCGCGCGCGGACUCACCUCAAAUCCAUUGGCGGCCCCCGCGUCGGCCACGAGCGCAGCAGAAACGCGAACUCGUGAGCCCGUCCGGGCGGCUCCCAGAAGCUACACCCACCCAGUUUGACCUCGGAUCAGGUAGGGAUACCCGCUGAACUUAAGC